CCUACGGGUGGCAGCAGUCGAGAAUCAUUCACAAUGGGGGAAACCCUGAUGGUGCGACGCCGCGUGAGUGAAGAAGUAUUUCGGUAUGUAAAGCUCUAUCAGCAGGGAAGAAAAGAAUGACGGUACCUGAAUAAGAAGCCCCGGCUAACUACGUGCCAGCAGCCGCGGUAAUACGUAGGGGGCAAGCGUUAUCCGGAUUUACUGGGUGUAAAGGGAGCGCAGACGGCAAUGCAAGCCUGGAGUGAAAGGCGGGGGCCCAACCCCCGGACUGCUCUGGGAACUGUAUAGCUAGAGUGCAGGAGAGGCAAGUGGAAUUCCUAGUGUAGCGGUGAAAUGCGUAGAUAUUAGGAGGAACACCAGUGGCGAAGGCGGCUUGCUGGACUGUAACUGACGUUGAGGCUCGAAAGCGUGGGGAGCAAACAGGAUUAGAUACCCGAGUAGUC
rnacentral:rRNA from 1 species